UACGUAGGGGGCAAGCGUUGUCCGGAAUCAUUGGGCGUAAAGCGCGUGUAGGCGGCUCGAUAAGUCUGCUGUGAAAGUCCAGGGCUCAACCCUGGGAUGCCGGUGGAUACUGUCGAGCUUGAGUCCGGAAGAGGCGAGUGGAAUUCCUGGUGUAGCGGUGAAAUGCGCAGAUAUCAGGAGGAACACCUAUGGCGAAGGCAGCUCGCUGGGACGUGACUGACGCUGAGACGCGAAAGCGUGGGGAGCAAACAGG
rnacentral:rRNA from 1 species